AUUGAACGCUGGCGGCAGGCCUAACACAUGCAAGUCGGGCGGAUGAAGGGAGCUUGCUCCUGGAUUCAGCGGCGGACGGGUGAGUAAUGCCUAGGAAUCUGCCUGGUAGUGGGGGAUAACGUCCGGAAACGGGCGCUAAUACCGCAUACGUCCUGAGGGAGAAAGUGGGGGAUCUUCGGACCUCACGCUAUCAGAUGAGCCUAGGUCGGAUUAGCUAGUUGGUGGGGUAAAGGCCUAUCAAGGCGACGAUCCGUAACUGGUCUGAGAGGAUGAUCAGUCACACUGGAACUGAGACACGGUCCAGACUCCUACGGGAGGCAGCAGUGGGGAAUAUUGGACAAUGGGCGAAAGCCUGAUCCAGCCAUGCCGCGUGUGUGAAGAAGGUCUUCGGAUUGUAAAGCACUUUAAGUUGGGAGGAAGGGCAGUAAGUUAAUACCUUGCUGUUUUGACGUUACCAACAGAAUAAGCACCGGCUAACUUCGUG
rnacentral:rRNA from 1 species